rnacentral:rRNA from 1 species
UAGGGAAUCUUCCACAAUGGACGCAAGUCUGAUGGAGCAACGCCGCGUGAGUGAAGAAGGUUUUCGGAUCGUAAAGCUCUGUUGUUGGUGAAGAAGGAUAGAGGUAGUAACUGGCCUUUAUUUGACGGUAAUCAACCAGAAAGUCACGGCUAACUACGUGCCAGCAGCCGCGGUAAUACGUAGGUGGCAAGCGUUGUCCGGAUUUAUUGGGCGUAAAGCGAGCGCAGGCGGAAGAAUAAGUCUGAUGUGAAAGCCCUCGGCUUAACCGAGGAACUGCAUCGGAAACUGUUUUUCUUGAGUGCAGAAGAGGAGAGUGGAAUUCCAUGUGUAGCGGUGGAAUGCGUAGAUAUAUGGAAGAACACCAGUGGAGAAGGCGACUCUCUGGUCUGCAACUGACGCUGAGGCUCGAAAGCAUGGGUAGCGAACAGG